UUAAAUGACCAGAUUUCUCAUUUCAUUGUGACCAAGUCAAAGUCACUGGAAGAAGAUGGUGACCUCUUUCUCCCCAUGGAGAAGGAGACGCUGAAGAGUUCCAUGAUGCUGAUGAGGCACCUCCUAAUGGAUGCUCAGUUUUGUGAAGAACAUCAUUGGAAUUUUGAUGGAGACCAUAUUCUACCUGCUGGAAGCAAUAAUCCCAGCAUGCCCCUGCCAAGC